UCUAAAUUUUUAAAAAGUGACUUUGUACUUUCGUGAAUCUUAGCGUAAUGUCGUUCAUUUGACUCGGGAUAUUAUGCUAAGAUAAACGUGAGCUCCAGAGUCACCUUCGCCACGUCUAUAA
rnacentral:precursor_RNA from 11 species